UUUGUUUCACUUUCGUUAAAUUUAGGGAAAAACUUAUACAAUCUGGGUUUUAUAAUCAUGCUCCAAUCAGGGACAACCAUCAAAUUCGUUUGAAGGACAACCACCAAAAUUCCUUACGGAUGGUGUUUUUUCUUUUCUUUUCUCUUUUAUUUUUCUGCAGUGCUGCCUUUCUUUUUCAAAGGUUUCAAUUUUUAAUUCUGAUUUUCUUAAUCGAAAGUUCAAUCACCGCGAGGGUGAUCACGAAUUAUACUAUGGAGAAGACGAGGUUGUAGUAGAUGAGGAUUUUGAUAUUGCUGCAUCUUAUGAUGAUGCUGAUGUUGCAACCGUGUGGAUGUCUGUGUCUGGAAAGUACUUCCCAAUAACUGAAGAAGAAUGUUAUAAACAAAAGAAGAAAAUUCCUCAUAUACAAGUUCUGCACACUAUUGUAAAGGUGAUGAAGAAGAGAAUGAAGUAGAAGCAGGUGUCACUGAUUCAACUGAAGUCGUAUAAACAACUAUAAAUUCAGAUGGGAAUGAAACUGAUCACAAGAUGGCUCAAAAUCUUAAAGGUGUUGGGUAUGCUUCAGUAGUUUUGUUGGAUCUGUUCGUAAAACUUCUAAAGGUAAUAUAAUAAUCCAUGUGGUCUUCUGGGGAAAUAGACCCUCAAUUUAAUUAUUAUUAGUCCAUUUCUUCUUUAAAUUAGCUUACAUGUUGAAUAAUAUAACAUCAUAAACUCCCUGUGAUCUUUUAAAUCCAAAUAUACAUCCAUAUACUCAUUUUCUCCACUCUAGCUUUAUACAGAGAGGUCACAUGAACUGCUGAUAAAUUAAUUAAUUACUUAUUUUCAGGGAUGAGUCUUGCAUGGAUAUAACUCAGUCACAUGAUCUCUGAUUCUCGGAUCAUGUAGUUAUAAUUAGUGUUAAAACGAACACCCAGGAUUCCUAAUAAUAGUUUUUUAUUAUUUUAAAGUUUCUAGCCACGUAUUUAACAAAUUAUUCUCUUCAUUCUGAAUUUACGCGAAGCAGAGACAAUCACAAUCAUGGGCAUGUGACAAAAAUGUUGGGUAUAUCUGCACCAAGUACUCCACAAACACAGAAAUCCAUGCGCCGUGAAAGCGCUAAAGGAAAAUUCUCGCAGCCAGUCAUUUAUUAUAGUGUGCUUCGUGGAUUGGUUAAAUUGAUCGAGAAAUCUAUAGUAACAGCUGAGGAAGUGGGUACUAACUACCAAGGUGUUCAGUCUGGGUCUUUCAAACCAGGUGUUCUCCAUUAUGAAUCAGAAAGUUGAGAUUUUGAUAAAUGGGUUUUUUUUAAAAUACUAUUACACGGUGUAUAUAAUUUGACUUCUGGCGGAUGGAUGAAGGAUCAAAUCAUGUAAGUAUUUUGGGUUAAGCAAUGAAUAUUUAUUUUGCUAUCUUAGAAAAGCAGGUUCCCUAAAUCUUAAUGUGGUAAAUUGUAUGUGUAUAUGCUUUUUUCAUGUUUUGUAGUAGGUAUAUGGGUUAUUGUUCGCCUUUGAUAUAGGUUGUUCGUUAUUUUU